rnacentral:snRNA from 1 species
GGAUGUGAAGGAAAUCUGGCCGUAGCAUCUGUCACCCCAUUAUCACCAGGGUUGAUUUGGCUGAUCUGGCUGAAUAGGCAGGUGUCCCUGACUCCCUCACCACUCCAUGUGUGUCCCCUCCAAAGCAGCGUGCUGGAAGAGGACCACCUCCAAUAGGAGAGGACCAUUUCCUCAGUGAAGGGCAUACAAGUAGCUGUGCUCCCCUGCUGAAACCUCCAAACAAGCUCUCAAAAGAGGUAUAAAUAUAAACUUGAACUCAAAGUUAUGAAAAUAAUAUAUGCACAUCUUAAAGUGACUUUCUCAUAUGU